rnacentral:rRNA from 1 species
GUAGGUGGCAAGCGUUGUCCGGAAUUAUUGGGGCGUAAAGCGCGCGCAGGCGGUUCUUUAAGUCUGAUGUGAAAGCCCACGGCUCAACCGUGGAGGGUCAUUGGAAACUGGAGAACUCGAGUACAGAAGAGGAAAGCGGAAUUCCACGUGUAGCGGUGAAAUGCGUAGAGAUGUGGAGGAACACCAGUGGCGAAGGCGGCUUUCUGGUCUGUAACUGACGCUGAGGCGCGAAAGCGUGGGGAGCAAACAGGAUUAGAUACCCUGGUAGUCCACGCCGUAAACGAUGAGUGCUAAGUGUUAGGGGGUUUCCGCCCCUUAGUGCUGCAGCUAACGCAUUAAGCACUCCGCCUGGGGAGUACGGCCGCAAAGGCUG